rnacentral:rRNA from 1 species
GACGAACGCUGGCGGCGUGCCUAAUACAUGCAAGUCGAACGCAGUGGGGACGGGGGAGUAACACGUGGGUAACCUCCCAUCAGAGGGGAUAACACUUGGCAACAGGUGCUAAAGCGCUACUGAUGUAUCUACUCGCUGUGCAUUAGCUAGUUGGUGAGGUAACGGCUCACCAAGGCCACGAUGCAUAGCCGACCUGAGAGGGUGACCGGCCACACUGGAACUGAGACACGGCCCAGACUCCUACGGGAGGCAGCAGUAGGGAAUCUUCGGCAAUGGACGAAAGUCUGACGGAGCAACGCCGCGUGAGUGAAGAAGGUUUUCGGAUCGUAAAACACUGUUGUUAGAGAAGCGGUAUCUACCCAGAAAGCCACGGCUAACUCCGUGCCAGCCGCCGCGGUAAUAC